UUGAAUGAAAAUCCCUCUUCAUCGCCUUGCGUGCCGUCUUCACGCCAUGUCUUUGCGUAUCGAUGGGGCGCUUUCUUCUUCAUUUUUGCCUCCUUGACAGAAUCGAUGAUGUGUUUGUGCAUGGAACAAAUGAAA
rnacentral:ribozyme from 1 species